rnacentral:rRNA from 1 species
UACGUAGGGGGCUAGCGUUGUCCGGAAUCAUUGGGCGUAAAGAGCGUGUAGGCGGUCCGGUAAGUCCGCUGUGAAAGUCGGGGGCUCAACCCUCGAAUGCCGGUGGAUACUGUCGGGCUAGAGUGCGGGAGAGGCGAGUGGAAUUCCUGGUGUAGCGGUGAAAUGCGCAGAUAUCAGGAGGAACACCAAUUGCGAAGGCAGCUCGCUGGAACGUAACUGACGCUGGAGACGCGAAAGCGUGGGGAGCAAACAGG